rnacentral:rRNA from 1 species
AAAAUGCGUCAAAGCUUAAUUGUUCACACGCCUAAUUACCAAAUUAACGUCUUAAUCCCCAAUUAAUACUGAGUAAUUCUAUAAUAUUAUAGAAAAUUUUAUGUUAAAACUAGUAACAAGAAGAAGACCCUUCUCUUAAAUGUUAGUGUUAAUCAGAAAGGACAAACCACUGAUACUUAACACUCUUGAACUAAAAGUAGUAACUAACCAAGAAAACUCUACCAAAAUCGAUGUCAACCUAACACAAGCACAUUUUAAGAAAGAUUAAAAGAAAAAGAAGGAACUCGGCAAAUAUUAACCCCGCCUGUUUACCAAAAACAUCGCCUCUUGAACCCAAUAAGAGGUCCAGCCUGCCCAGUGACUCUGUUCAACGGCCGCGGUAUCCUAACCGUGCGAAGGUAGCGUAAUCACUUGUUCUUUAAAUGAGGACUAGUAUGAAUGGCACCACGAAGGUUAUACUGUCUCCUUUUUUUAAUCAGUGAAACUAAUCUCCCCGUGAAGAAGCGGGGAUAAAACUAUAAGACGAGAAGACCCUAUGGAGCUUUAAACAACAUAGCACUUACUACACAACACUUUUAAAUUAAUUUCUUAAGUAAUAUGACUAUAAGUUUUUGGUUGGGGUGACCACGGAGUGUAACAUAACCUCCACGUUGAAAAAAUUCUAUUUUAAGCUAAGAACUACUUUUCUAAGCAUCAAUAUCUUGACAUUCAUUGACCCAAUACUUUUGAGCAACGAACCAAGUUACCCUAGGGAUAACAGCGCAAUCCACUUUAAGAGCCCCUAUCGACAAGUGGGUUUACGACCUCGAUGUUGGAUCAGGGUCUCCAAGUGGUGCAGCCGCUACUAAAGGUUCGUUUGUUCACGAUUAAA